GCCCAAAAUCAAGCCCCCAAAAUCCAAAUGAAAUAAUCCUACAAACAACACCAAACAAAACAUUUUAUUUACUUAGUAAAGGUGAUUAAAAAGUACUUAGGAGCCACAACACCAGUACCGCAAGGGAAAUAUGAAAUAAAAAUGAAAUAAAUUUUAAGCCCAACAAAGUAGAGAUACGCCCUCGUACCUUUUGCAUCAUGGUCUGACCAGAAAAACCAAGCAAAACGAACUUUAAGUUUGACCCCCCGAAACUAGACGAGCUACUUCAAAACAGCCCAAGAGCCAACCCGUCCCUGUUGCAAUAGGGUGGGAAGAUUUUCAAGUAGAGGUGAUAAGCCUACCGAGCCUAGAGAUAGCUGGUUAUUCAGGAAACGGAUACAGUCCAAUUUUAAACUUUCAAAUAACAUCAAAUAUACUAAUAAAUUUAAAAUCUAUUCAAAUAAGGUACAGCCUAUUUGAAACAGGAUACAACCUAAAACAGAGGGUAAUGCCUAAAUAAAUGUGAUUAAGUUGGCCUAAGAGCAGCCACCUUCUAUGAAGGCGUUAAAGCCCCAUCACACCUACCCACAAAUUUCAUUAAAAACCCAAAACCCCUUAACAAUACUGAAUGACUCCAUACCCCCUAUGGAAAACCCUAUGUCUGAACUAGUAACAAGAAAACUUUCUCCAAUAAUGUAAACGUAAGCCGGAAUGAACUCCUCACCGGCACUUACCGCCAAUGAACACACAGUAAUAACACAACAAGAAAACCCUACUCUUCUAAGCGUUAACCUUACACUAGAACCUUCCUGGAAAGAUUUAAAAAAGAGGAAGGAACUCGGCAAAUAUUAACCCCGCCUGUUUACCAAAAACAUCGCCUUUUGACAACCAAUUAAAGGUCCAGCCUGCCCAGUGAAACUUAAACGGCCGCGGUAUCUUAACCGUGCAAAGGUAGCAUAAUCACUUGUUCUUUAAAUAAGGACUAGUAUGAACGGCACCACGAGAGUUAUACUGUCUCCCUCUUUUAAUCAGUGAAACUAAUCUCCCCGUGAAGAAGCGGGGAUAAACCUAUAAGACGAGAAGACCCCAUGGAGCUUAAAACGAACAUCACCUUGCAACACCUACACCACCUAAACACGCAAGCCUGACUACUAAGUUUUUGGUUGGGGCGACCGCGGAGUAAAACCAAACCUCCACGAUGAAAGGAAAUAAACCCCUAAUCUAAGAGACACCCCUCACAGAAUCAAAACAUUGACUAAAAUUGACCCAAUACAAUUGAACAACGAACCAAGUUACCCUGGGGAUAACAGCGCAAUCCAUUUUUAGAGCCCCUAUCGACAAAUGGGUUUACGACCUCGAUGUUGGAUCAGGGUAUCCCAGCGGCGCAGCCACUGCUAAAGGUUCGUUUGUUCAACGAUCAAAACCCU
rnacentral:rRNA from 1 species